UAAAGACGACUGAUUUAGGUUCUUGAAAUAAAAAGUGUUUCUACCGAGUUCCUCACCAAAUAAUGGUCAAUUUAACAUCAAUUGUUUGUGGACGACCACCGCAUUUGAUCUACGGUGUGAAAAGAGGAAAAGUGCCAACGUCGUUAAGGCCACAUGUAAUCCUGAAGAAACAAGCUUUAGGGAAUGCAACAUGUAUGGAAGAAAUGUCCAAACUGAUGAACUGUUUUAAAAGGGAAAAGUUUGAAGAUCAAAAAUGCUCGAAGGAAGUUGGCGAGUUCCUAGAAUGUGCCAGAAUAGCGGCAAAAAGCAGAAUGGCUAAAAAGUCAAGUCAAAGUGGUUGGUCAUUAGAUGAACUCAAUGCAGUGCUAAAGGAAAACACACAGACAAUAAAAAAAUCCCGUGUGAGAACCUAAAAUGCAGGUUGAUUUCAAAUGCUAUCAACAUUGGUCCAACAAAAUGUGGUGUGAAAAUACGACGUAAUUGCUGAUGAUGACCGGAAGACAUUUUACGGAAAAAUAGAUAUCACCUCCCCGUUUUUACCAAAAGAAAGACAACAUAACAUAAGUCAACAUAUAAAAACUCACUUCGUUUUGACUUGCAAAGCCUCAGCUGUUGCAGGAAUCCUCUUGUCUCUAUCUGUAACCAGUUCAAUCCCA